GACGAACGCUGGCGGCGUGCCUAAUACAUGCAAGUAGAACGCUGAAGAGAGGAGCUUGCUCUUCUUGGAUGAGUUGCGAACGGGUGAGUAACGCGUAGGUAACCUGCCUUGUAGCGGGGGAUAACUAUUGGAAACGAUAGCUAAUACCGCAUAACAAUGGAUGACACAUGUCAUUUAUUUGAAAGGGGCAAUUGCUCCACUACAAGAUGGACCUGCGUUGUAUUAGCUAGUAGGUGAGGUAAUGGCUCACCUAGGCGACGAUACAUAGCCGACCUGAGAGGGGGAUCGGCAACGCUGGGACUGAGACACGGCCCAGAACCCUACGGGAGGCAGCAGGAGGGGAUCUUCGGCAAUGGGGGCAACCCUGACCGAGCAACGCCGCGUGAGUGAAGAAGGUUUUCGGAUCGUAAAGCUCUGUUGUAAGUCAAGAACGGGUGUGAGAGUGGAAAGUUCACACUGUGACGGUAGCUUACCAGAAAGAGACGGCUAACUACGUG
rnacentral:rRNA from 1 species